GGUCCAUAUCAACUUUUCACUGAGAUGUUGUCCAGAAUUAGGCAACGGUACGAAGAUUGAGCAACAUUAAAGUUGCACGACCUAAUAGCAGUCAAUUGAAGUUAUGUGACCAAAUUGAAAUUAAGUGACAAGUUGAGUGAUCAUUAGCACUUGUGCAAUUAACCUGUGAAUUACAAGACAUGACUUGCACCUGACAUUGUUAUUUUAUCUGUCCAAAGUCUGUUAAAUUGCUUAUUUAUGAACAACUUUUCAUUUCAUUAUCAGAUUGGAUUGGCUAUGUCACCAUUGAGCAACAAUUCCCUUUUCCUGGAUUAUCAUCGAAACCCAUUUCC
rnacentral:misc_RNA from 1 species